rnacentral:rRNA from 1 species
UACGGAGGGUGCGAGCGUUGUCCGGAAUCACUGGGCGUAAAGGGCGCGUAGGCGGCCUGAUAAGUAGGGGGUGAAAUCCUGCGGCUUAACCGCAGGGCUGCCUUCUAAACUGUCAGGCUAGAGUCCGGAAGAGGAGUGUGGAAUUCCCGGUGUAGCGGUGAAAUGCGCAGAUAUCGGGAAGAACACCCGUGGCGAAGGCGGCACUCUGGGACGGUACUGACGCUGAGACGCGAAAGCGUGGGGAGCGAACAGG